rnacentral:rRNA from 1 species
CUUAGCUUGCUAAGGCCGAUGGCGACCGGCGCACGGGUGAGUAACACGUAUCCAACCUGCCGUCUACUCUUGGACAGCCUUCUGAAAGGAAGAUUAAUACAAGAUGGCAUCAUGAGUCCGCAUGUUCACAUGAUUAAAGGUAUUCCGGUAGACGAUGGGGAUGCGUUCCAUUAGAUAGUAGGCGGGGUAACGGCCCACCUAGUCUUCGAUGGAUAGGGGUUCUGAGAGGAAGGUCCCCCACAUUGGAACUGAGACACGGUCCAAACUCCUACGGGAGGCAGCAGUGAGGAAUAUUGGUCAAUGGGCGAGAGCCUGAACCAGCCAAGUAGCGUGAAGGAUGACUGCCCUAUGGGUUGUAAACUUCUUUUAUAAAGGAAUAAAGUCGGGUAUGGAUACCCGUUUGCAUGUACUUUAUGAAUAAGGAUCGGCUAACUCCGUGCCAGCAGCCGCGGUAAUACGGAGGAUCCGAGCGUUAUCCGGAUUUAUUGGGUUUAAAGGGAGCGUAGAUGGAUGUUUAAGUCAGUUGUGAAAGUUUGCGGCUCAACCGUAAAAUUGCAGUUGAUACUGGAUAUCUUGAGUGCAGUUGAGGCAGGCGGAAUUCGUGGUGUAGCGGUGAAAUGCUUAGAUAUCACGAAGAACUCCGAUUGCGAAGGCAGCCUGCUAAGCUGCAACUGACAUUGAGG